rnacentral:rRNA from 1 species
UACGAAGGGGGCUAGCGUUGCUCGGAAUCACUGGGCGUAAAGGGCGCGUAGGCGGCGUUUUAAGUCGGGGGUGAAAGCCUGUGGCUCAACCACAGAAUGGCCUUCGAUACUGGGACGCUUGAGUAUGGUAGAGGUUGGUGGAACUGCGAGUGUAGAGGUGAAAUUCGUAGAUAUUCGCAAGAACACCGGUGGCGAAGGCGGCCAACUGGACCAUUACUGACGCUGAGGCGCGAAAGCGUGGGGGAGCAAACAGG